AGAGUUUGAUCCUGGCUCAGGACGAACGCUGGCGGCGUGCUUAACACAUGCAAGUCGAACGAGGUCCAUCCUUCGGGAGAAGACCUAGUGGCGAACGGGUGCGUAACACGUGAGGAACUUGUCCCGGUCUCUGGGAUAACAGUUGGAAACGACUGCUAAUACCGGAUGACGUCGGAGCGUCGCAUGGCGCGCUGACGAAAGGGUUACCGGAUCGGGAGAGCCUCGCGGCCUAUCAGCUUGUUGGUGGGGUAACGGCCUACCAAGGCAUCGACGGGUAGCUGGUCUGAGAGGAUGAUCAGCCACACUGGGACUGAGACACGGCCCAGACUCCUACGGGAGGCAGCAGUGGGGAAUCUUGCGCAAUGGGCGAAAGCCUGACGCAGCAACGCCGCGUGCGGGAAGAAGGCUCUCGGGUUGUAAACCGCUUUCAGAAGGAACGAAACUGACGGUACUUUCAGAAGAAGGUGCGGCCAACUACGUGCCAGCAGCCGCGGUGACACAUAGGCACCAAGCGUUGUCCGGAUUUAUUGGGCGUAAAGAGCUCGUAGGCGGUUCAGUAAGUCAGGUGUGAAAUCUUUGGGCUUAGCCCAAAGCGUGCACUUGAUACUGCUGUGACUUGAGUUCGGUAGGGGAGUGGGGAAUUCCUAGUGUAGCGGUGAAAUGCGCAGAUAUUAGGAGGAACACCGGUGGCGAAGCGCCACUCUGGGCCGAAACUGACGCUGAGGAGCGAAAGCGUGGGUAGCAAACAGGAUUAGAUACCCUGGUAGUCC
rnacentral:rRNA from 1 species